rnacentral:rRNA from 1 species
GACGAACGCUGGCGGCGUGCCUAAUACAUGCAAGUAGAACGCUGAAGAGAGGAGCUUGCUCUUCUUGGAUGAGUUGCGAACGGGUGAGUAACGCGUAGGUAACCUGCCUGGUAGCGGGGGAUAACUAUUGGAAACGAUAGCUAAUACCGCAUGAUAUUAAUUGUCGCAUGAUAAUUAAUUGAAGGAUGCAAUUGCAUCACUACCAGAUGGACCUGCGUUGUAUUAGCUAGUUGGUGAGGUAACGGCUCACCAAGGCGACGAUACAUAGCCGACCUGAGAGGGUGAUCGGCCACACUGGGACUGAGACACGGCCCAGACUCCUACGGGAGGCAGCAGUAGGGAAUCUUCGGCAAUGGGGGGAACCCUGACCGAGCAACGCCGCGUGAGUGAAGAAGGUUUUCGGAUCGUAAAGCUCUGUUGUAAGAGAAGAACGGGUGUGAGAGUGGAAAGUUCACACUGUGACGGUAUCUUACCAGAAAGGGCGGCU